rnacentral:lncRNA from 1 species
AACCACUUUGUUGGUGGCUUGAGGUGAACAGAGGCAAGAGGACUCGGUUUCAUUGUCUGAUUUGGUUUGUGAUUGCCGUGAUUGAUUCAAGGUGUUCAGAUUAGUUCUUUCUUCUUGUAGGAAAAACGGCAUUGGAAUUUCAGUAGAAUAAAUCAAGGUCGAAGAUGAUGAUGGGAUUAUGCAUGGGAGACAUUAGUUUGCAGGUUUAUGAUGAGGCAAAUCUUUGUUGUUAGUAUGGGUGACAAACAGUAUGCAGUAGCGAGAAUGGAUAGGGAAAGAUAACCAGGAUAUGUAUGCGGCGUGCGGGACAUUCAAUGGCAAACAUAUAUGCGCAGUAAAACAUACAUAAGUAGUAAAGUACAAAGGCAUUCUAGCAGCUUUAGAUAUUCAACAAUGAUCAUAUAUAAGCGGCAAAGCACAAAGGUAUUCAUUGUAAAUAAACUACAAUAAGUUUACUCAGUUACCACUUGGAGCUUCCUUAGUACGGUUGCUGUGACAGGAAGGAUGAAGCUGGUGCUGAUGGGAAGAAAGUAGGCUACUAUAGUAGCUGAAUUUCUGUGCUAUUGCUAACUUCGUACCGCUGAUGAUCUCCUCUCUUCCCUUGGCUGGCUUCUCUUUUGUUUCUUUGUAGGUGAACGGAGGUUGCAGAUGUGCGAUGGAUGGUAUCUCCACUUGAGAAAGGAAAUAAUUGGGUAGAGGAUUGUGCUUGUGUGCGUGAUGGAGGAACGGUUUCUGUUGAGUGAAUAGAAAGUGGUUCGGAGCUGAGAGUAGUGUCCCCUCCCCUGAUGUUGGUGCCUCCUCCUGUAAGUGUAAGUGGGUUCCUUUUUUGGCAUUUAGUCUGCCAGCAUCAACUGAGAACCAAACGUCGUCUGCCAAAGCUGCUGUCAAACGCCAUUCUCCUUUGACGUAUAAUUUUGAUUGCGUGUAGAGGUGUUUGUGGUUGUGUGUUGCAGGAUCAAAUGCAUUUCAGGAUGGAAAUCUUAAUUUGUGUUUGCGUAGGGUGAGAAUGGGGAGAAGCCAGUCUGUUAUUUCCACAAACAGAACAUAGUUGACUAUAGUGUUUUUUCUAUUUUUCUUUUUGUUAUUUUGUUUUUUUUUAUUGUUAUUUUAUUUUUUUUUUCUUCUUAACAGCACCGAUUUUGAGUUUAAAAUAUAUAAAAAAAAAUAAAAUAAAUAAAUAAUAAAAGAAAAAAAAGGUGAAAACUAAUAGAUAAAAAUAAAAAACAAUAAAUUAGAAUAAAAAUGAUAAACUUAACAAAAGAAAAGUGCUUAACAGUAAAAGAAAAGGAAAGACGAAAUAACAUAAAAAGAAAAUAAAAAACAAAAAAAAAUAAAGUAAAAUAAAUAAAAUAAUAAUAAUAAAAUAAAAUAAAAUAAUAAUAAUAAAAUAAAAUAAAAUUUAACAAUAAUAAUAAAAAUAAAAUAAAAAAAAAGAUAAAAAACAAAAAUAACCUAAAUAAAAAUUAAUAAAAGUAAAGAUAUAAAUACAAAAAUAAAAGAAAAGAAAAUUAAGAUAGAAAUGAUUUCGUUUGUUUUUUUUUAUUUAUUUAACUACCCGGACGAAAUUGGGUAUUGACACUCUCAUCUUGGUCAUUCUUCAACCAUCUUGUCAUCAAAUCUUUGUGGUUCAUCACACGAGCUUUCGUCAUCAUCUCGUCUCACAUUAGCUCUGCCUACAACGCCUCUUCAAAAACACGAGAUCUGGAAGAAUUGAG